UUAACUGAAGUCCCCUUUUCCAGAUUGGCAACCCUCCUGCUCCCAGAGUGCCUGACUCUUACUGUCCAUCGGGAAGGCUAAAGCACAGAUCUCCACAUGGACAGGUCAAGUCAAAGGUCUACGCACUGACCAGGAAGUCAAAAGGAAUGUUUGCAUGGGAUACCACGAUGGCUGUCCCCUUCAUGGAAACACGUCAUGUAUGAUUGGUCCUUUAAGGCUUCAGUCUCUUUACUGGUCCCCAACAUGGACUCCUUUCUUUUGCAUCCCGGCUCUCUGGAUGGAUGCUCGGCUUGCUGACAAACCAUAGGAGCUGUGAUCAUAAAAUGCUUCAGACCAUCAAACAUCCGUGGUGAGGUUGAGGCCACCUACUCGAUAAAACUGAUGGUUCCCAGGGUGGCAACUAUACAGACAUUUUACAGAGCUACAAAGCCAACAUCUUUGGCUUGCAAUGAAUGUGUUAGCCAUGUUCUAAGCCCUAGGACACAGGUUCUCCCAUGACGUAAAAGGGCAGGUGAGGCUAAGUGGGCGUGGCGCAAGCACAGGACUGGAGCAGCUAAGACCACAAACACCAGAAACAACAUGCUCGGAUCUAAGGAGGAGCUCUUACGUUCUUCUCAAAGUUUUCAAGGGAAGGAAGAUUUCAAGCUUGGGGGAAGACUCAACAGAAUUUCGAUCUCGUCUUUCAAGUCCUUGCUGAAGGAAAAGAAGAAGUCAAAAUUUUCUCUAUUUAGACUCCCAGCAAAACAGAUCCUGCUUGUUUUAAAGGCAUUAGUGCUCGCCCUGUUUGAAAGAGAACAGAAUCCAUGAGAACUCAAGUCCCAGUACCGUCCAGGGGGAUCCCCAGGAAGAGCGUGUUAGAAGUGUCCAGCAUGAUGUGUCUCAUGAGGGUCACCACGUCCACGUAGCCCGAGUUGUCA